rnacentral:rRNA from 1 species
UUGAGGCGUGGCUUCCGGAGCUAACGCGUUAAAUCGACCGCCUGGGGAGUACGGCCGCAAGGUUAAAACUCAAAUGAAUUGACGGGGGCCCGCACAAGCGGUGGAGCAUGUGGUUUAAUUCGAUGCAACGCGAAGAACCUUACCUACUCUUGACAUCCAGAGAAUUCGCUAGAGAUAGCUUAGUGCCUUCGGGAACUCUGAGACAGGUGCUGCAUGGCUGUCGUCAGCUCGUGUUGUGAAAUGUUGGGUUAAGUCCCGCAACGAGCGCAACCCUUAUCCUUUGUUGCCAGCGAUUCGGUCGGGAACUCAAAGGAGACUGCCGGUGAUAAACCGGAGGAAGGUGGGGAUGACGUCAAGUCAUCAUGGCCCUUACGAGUAGGGCUACACACGUGCUACAAUGGCGUAUACAAAGAGAAGCGAACUCGCGAGAGCAAGCGGACCUCAUAAAGUACGUCGUAGUCCGGAUUGGAGUCUGCAACUCGACUCCAUGAAGUCGGAAUCGCUAGUAAUCGUAGAUCAGAAUGCUACGGUGAAUACGUUCCCGGGCCUUGUACUCCCCGCCCGUCAAAA